rnacentral:rRNA from 1 species
CCUACGGGAGGCAGCAGUGAGGAAUAUUGGUCAAUGGACGGAAGUCUGAACCAGCCAAGUAGCGUGAGGGAGGAAGGUGCUAUGGGUUGUAGACUUCUUUUAUAGGGGGAUAAAACGCGGCACGUGUACCUUUUUGCGUGUACUUUGUGAAUAAGGAUCGGCUAACUCCGUGCCAGCAGCCGCGGUAAUACGGAGGAUCCGAGCGUUAUCCGGAUUUAUUGGGUUUAAAGGGAGCGUAGAUGGGGGCUUAAGGCGGUUGUGAAAGUGUGCGGCGCAACCGCAGACGUGCCCUGGAUACUGGGAGGCUGGAGUACAGUGGAGGUAGGCGGAAUGCGCGGUGUAGCGGUGAAAUGCAUAGAUAUCACGCAGAACCCCGAUUGCGAAGGCAGCGUACCAAGCCGUGACUGACAUUGAGGCACGAAAGCGCGGGGAUCAAACAGGAUUAGAUACCCGGGUAGUC